UUCGGUAUGGUGGCGAGUGGCGAACGGGUGAGUAAUAUAUCGGAACGUGCCCAGUCGUGGGGGAUAACGUAGUGAAAAUUACGCUAAUACCGCAUACGAUCUACGGAUGAAAGCGGGGGAUCGCAAGACCUCGCGCGAUUGGAGCGGCCGAUAUCAGAUUAGGUAGUUGGUGGGGUAAAGGCUCACCAAGCCAACGAUCUGUAGCUGGUCUGAGAGGACGACCAGCCACACUGGAACUGAGACACGGUCCAGACUCCUACGGGAGGCAGCAGUGGGGAAUUUUGGACAAUGGACGCAAGUCUGAUCCAGCCAUUCCGCGUGCAGGAUGAAGGCCCUCGGGUUGUAAACUGCUUUUGUACAGAACGAAAAGGCUCUUCCUAAUACGAGGGGCUCAUGACGGUACUGUAAGAAUAAGCACCGGCUAACUACGUG
rnacentral:rRNA from 1 species